rnacentral:rRNA from 1 species
CUUUGGUACGGAAUAGCUCCGGGAAACUGGAAUUAAUACCGUAUGAGCCCUACGGGGGAAAGAUUUAUCGCCAAAGGAUGGGCCCGCGUUGGAUUAGCUAGUUGGUGGGGUAAUGGCCUACCAAGGCGACGAUCCAUAGCUGGUCUGAGAGGAUGAUCAGCCACACUGGGACUGAGACACGGCCCAGACUCCUACGGGAGGCAGCAGUGGGGAAUAUUGGACAAUGGGGGCAACCCUGAUCCAGCCAUGCCGCGUGAGUGAUGAAGGCCCUAGGGUUGUAAAGCUCUUUCAGCGAGGAGGAUAAUGACGUUACUCGCAGAAGAAGCCCCGGCUAACUUCGUGCCAGCAGCCGCGGUAAUACGAAGGGGGCUAGCGUUGUUCGGAAUCACUGGGCGUAAAGCGCACGUAGGCGGAUUGAUAAGUUAGGGGUGAAAUCCCGGGGCUCAACCUCGGAACUGCCUUUGAUACUGUCAGUCUUGAGUCCGAGAGAGGUGAGUGGAACUCCGAGUGUAGAGGUGAAAUUCGUAGAUAUUCGGAAGAACACCAGUGGCGAAGGCGGC